AUGGAGGCAGCAGGUCUGCCUCUCCACGUUCAGCGAGCCGCGUGGGGUUGCCCUCAGCAAUGGGCCCACUGUCCGUUGGUGACUCCACGUUCCUCCGGUCCUCACGCCCGCGACAGACAGACAAGGCUAGCCUCAAGUUCAGGUCUGUGAACCCAGCCCUCUGCACACAGCACAUCUGAGCUAAAGAUCCUGCGUUACAUUGUUCGUCCUGUGGUUCGUCUGUCCUCAGAUCAGUCUGUCCUGUGGUCACUCUGUCCUGCAGUUCCUCGGACCCUGCCCAACUAGGAAGCACGAUCGUGGAGAGAUUGGGAUCCGGCAGAUCAUGAGCCGAGGUGACCCAGCCAGAGGCAGGCUCCAGGUUCGAGACUCGCCCUCUCUGCUGGAAACGUCAGCGUCAGCGAAGCGCCUGCGAGCCGCUUAGACAUUUGUUCUCCUUGGGAAGCGCUUGUGAUUCCCUGGUAACUUAGGAUUUUCGUCUUGAAAGACAACUCCUUGAGGCAAAAUACUGAAGAUCUGAGUAAAAGGAGAAAAUGAGUCAGAGUCACACAGAGCGGGGUUAUGUUUGGGAACCUGGAAGGCCAUGAGGGACUAAUCAAGGUCCAGCCUGAUUAGUCACUGUUUAUCGGUGAUUACCAAUGAUCAUCAGCGUUUAUCGGUGAUCUCAGCCUCCCUGUACCUCAUGCGGUCAAGCCUGGGCUCAUGUACCGAGAUCUACUAGCACAGAGAGCUGCUUCUGCAGGUCCAGCACCCGUGGGGAAACACCUGUAUUCCUGAAUCCCUGGAAAGCCCUCUGUCACGGCAGCUUCUACUUAGGACUGUGGUUCCAGGACUGGGGACCCAGCAUGCUCUUGUCUCUUCAGUUGAGGGGGGGCAGGAGGAUGUGUCAAUCUCCGGCUUUGUGUCUUCAUCUGUAUGGCUCCUUGGUUUUUCCCUCACCUGUAUGCUCAGUUCCUCAGAUUGAAUUCUACCUGCUAUAGAUAGCUAGAGAAAUUUCUGUGUUCCGAGGAAAAUUUAAAAACUUGUGUCAUGCGGGGCUGGAGAGAUGCUCAGUGGUGAAGAGCAUGUGUCACUCCUAUAGCAGGCCUUGGUUUGCUUUGGGAAUCUUCUGUUGUUACAAAGGAGUGAAACAGGAAAUCAAACUUCCUGCUGGUCGUUCAUCCACGGUGCUUGCAUGAAACCCAUCCAGGGCCAACAACAUUAUUCAGAGGAUAAGGACACUUACUGGCGUCCCUGACAGCCUAGGCUCAACCUCCCAGAAUCCAACUGGUGGGAGGAGAGAGCCAACUUCUACAAUGUUGUCGUCCGAGCUACACAGAGAUACUACGGCACAUGCGUGACCGCCCACUCCCCAACUUAAAAAAUUGUUAAAAAAGGAAA